UGAAUGCACCAUGGAAAACUCCCCAAAUGCAAAGGAAAUUAAAGGGGCUCCCUACUCUUUGUCUAUGGAUGAAGUUAUGGACAUUCUGAACCAAAUCCACCUCUUCUACUUAUUCAAAUUUUGUUCACCGUGAGGCCUCUAUAAGGAAAGAUGGAUUAAAGAAAAGGAUAGACUUAUUUAACACACGUUUUAUGUGACACGGGAACCUUCAUACGGAAAUGAAGACCUGAAGAAACAGGUUAAAACAAUGAAAAGAAAGCAACUAUUCUGUUGGACUGAACAAUUUAUUUGAAACUUUGACUUCACAAAGACUCAAGUAGCAUUCUUUCAUUUGUUUCAUGGUGUUAGUUGGUUUAACCUUUUUUGACUUGUCCGAGCACAGUGAAUUCACUGCCCACGGGGAGUUUGCUGACCAUCUGCUCUAUGUCAUGUAGAAAAGCCACAGGGCCUUUCUUCCUUUCCUGGUGUCCGUAGUUCCAGAAGGAUUUAGUCAAGAUAAAAUUGCCUCCCAUCUUGAGUUGAUGUGUUUGAAUGUAAGAGUUACCUUUGGAGGGGAAAAGAAAUAACUUUUUUUUUUUUAAUCUAUCAUUAA
rnacentral:lncRNA from 1 species